rnacentral:rRNA from 1 species
GACAGAGGGUGCAAACGUUGCUCGGAAUCACUGGGCGUAAAGCGCGUGUAGGCUGAUUCGUUAGUCGGGUGUGAAAUCCCUGGGCUCAACCCAGGAACUGCAUCCGAAACUGCGAGUCUAGAGUGUCGGAGAGGGAAGCGGAAUUCCUGGUGUAGAGGUGAAAUUCGUAGAUAUCAGGAGGAACACCGGUGGCGAAGGCGGCUUCCUGGACGAUGACUGACGCUGAGACGCGAAAGCGUGGGGAGCAAACAGG